GGCGGCGGCGGCGGCGGCGGGACUGGCCCUGCGCCCGGGCACCGCCUGCGCUGCGCCGCCCGGCCUCACUCCGCGGCCCGCCAGGACCCGGCCCCGGUGAACGGGCUCGGGGUGCCGAGGUCCGGCUGCGGGGCCGGGAAGCCACCUCCACCUUGCCGUCUGUUACGACCCCCGAGGCGCAAGGCUGAGCCCCAUCUCGCUAUCCGGGUCCGGAGGGGUUCACCUUAGAAGGAUUUUUUGAAGCUCUUGGCGCUGGCUCUAAAAGAACCCACUUCCUUGCGGAUUUCAGGAGUCAAGAAUCCUUAAACGGAGCCAAUUUGCUUUGUAAAGCCAAUUGCCCAAGUGACUUGAGUUCGAAAGGAGAUACUUCCUGGACAACUGCUAUAAAAACAACAACAAAUACUUUUAUUAAUUCGGGGAGCCUGGUCACCAACUGGAUGCUCAGGGGAGAUGGAACCCUGAGCAGCCCAUGUACAUGGAAGAUCUUUAUUGCAGAGAUCUUCAAACCAGGAUCUUCUAAGGGUGUGAGGAUACAGGCGUCAAAGACCCCGUGCUGAGACAGCUCCAUAACAACAUGCAGAUAUUUGGCAAUGAGGGUUCAGAAGAGGACUUGCUGUGGAGAAGAGAGAAAAGAGAUGGGAAGACUCUGUGAAUGAAUAGAGAACACUCUGCAAGCAUCCCAGUUCCUUUGGUUGCCCUGCAGUCUGCAGGUACCAGGAGAAAUCAAAAGCCGCCUGGAAGGGCUUUCUGUCUGUAUGGAGUCAAGGCAGUGUCUUCAAAUCUGUGCUUUCUAAAACAAAGAAAUAACCUUGAUGAAACAAAUUUUCCCCAGAGGAAGGGGAGAGCCCACAGUGAGCUGGUAAAGAAGAUGCCUGGAGCAGGCAGCAUCCUCAAAUGGAAGAGAUGGUGUCUUGCUAUGUUGCCCAAGCUGGUCUUAAAUUCCUGGCAUCAAGUGAUCCUCCUGCCUCAGCCUCCCAAAGUACUGGGAUUACAGAACAAAACAAUCAGCAGGCGGGUCUGCGGCAUUCUAAGAACAGACACUGGCAGGAACAAAGGUUACAGAAGUGAAUGACUCUAAGAAUCAAGCAAGACAUGGAGUGGCAGAAAAUUAAAUUCUGAAUCCCUAAAAGACAUGAUGCAAAGAUGACCUCCUCUCCCAAGGACAUGUCCUCAUCCUGCGCUGACCGUGUGUGGUCAUUUCAGAAAAAGCGAACAAUGGAGAACCUGCUUGAAUGAUACUUAGACCUGGGACAACUGAAAGGAGUUGCACUUAUACAAUUCGGUGCAGUGGAGUCCCCUGGGAGGAGCCCCAGUCACACGGGAAGAGACAGUCACAGCUGUAAUAAAUGAUGGCUAGCAUGUAUCAAGCACUGGCCGAGUCCUCAGCAUACAUUACAUUACAGAAUUCAGUGUGCACCUCAACACUCUGGGGGUGUAUUUUAUAGGAGAACUGUGGCACAAAGAGGGGUUUUGCAAUCCCAAGAAGAGUCAGCGUUUGAAUUUUGAAUUUAUGUGCAAAAGAGACAAAUAUGGCUAAAGGGCAUGGGCACACUCUCUCUGGGUCCCCGUGUUAACGAUUUUAGUAGCUUCUAUUUAAAUGGUGCUCUUUCUCUAAGAAGAUCAUUGGGUAUUUUCUGAAAGCUUACAUAAUGGCUGGAAGCCCCCUGCCUCUGCAAAGGAACACCUGAUUCAGAAAAGUAAACACCAUAACAGCAACCCAUUCAUCAGCUGCCCAGACUCACAACCAAGCAGACAUGCAGCGACUUUCCAAAAACCCUCAUUUCUGGCAUUACAGCCUGUGGCAAUAACAGAGUUAAGGAAAGGUAAGUGAAACUCAGAGAGACACAGUGAGAUAAUUAUUCCUCACGCCUGUUAGAAGAACAUUCCACCGUCUCAGAAGAAGCCCUGUCUGAAUCUGAUUCAGCUGAGAAAACAACUCAGGCCAUGGUAGCUGCACCCAACUCUCUAAAUCAACAGUGACCUGUGCUGAAGGGAUUAAGGCAUCCCAACAUUCCUCAGAGCCCAAGGCAAGGAGAAUCCCUUAUGAAGAUGAAAUUGAUCUUCAAGCACCCUCUACCUUACUCUGCGUGAUGCCAUAUUCUUCCUGAAUCCCACCCAACUCAAGAGCAUGAUUUGCAUAAUAAAAUCUCUAAUACUUUGAUGAACAAAUGUUAUCCAAGAUACUUUAAAAACUGCCUUCACGUCAUUCAACAAAUGUGUGGAAGAUGCCAGGCAUGCAAAUAUCAAUCAUGUGAUCCCCAACCUGGAAGAGCUCACAGACUAACUAGAGAGACAGAGGAAUGACCAAGCCCUGGCAAUGCAGUGUGACAG
rnacentral:lncRNA from 10 species